GCCCCCAUGAACCCCCUUCCCACAAGGGGGUUCCCACUGCGCACGCGCAGUGUUUAACGGCCGGUCAGGAACCCAACAAUUAGUCCCUUCUCGUCCGAGAGGAAACUCUGUGAGAAGAUGGGACCGUGAGCACUCUCUUUAACAAGGACAUUUCCUUUUCAGCGAAAGCAGCGCUCUGAUUUACCAAGUCUGGCGGACCGCAGCGCUUUAAAGGAAUGAGGUUCCAGCGGUCGCGCCAAGCAGCUUCGGGAACACCCUUGUCGCCGCCGUUCCGGUAACACCUCUCCAACGCUUUCGAUGCUUCUACUUCUUCGGGAACAAGACAAGAUGGCGCCCGAUUUGUCUCACCCGGAAGUAAAGAAUAAUAACAUCCGUUUGUCAUCUGAAGCCAUACCAUCUCUCAUCCAGAAUGUUUGUUGCAGAUACAGUUCCACCACUGUACAUUAAGUAUGUGGAAAACAGAAGAUAUCCUUUUGGUUCCUGGGUCUCCAGAACAGUAGGAGCAAACAUCCAAAUCUGAUAUAGCACUUCCAGAGAGCCUGGUCUUGGAGGAUAAAACUUUACCUUGAUGGGACUUUUGGCCCCGGUCCCUUAAGAGUUGGGAUUUGGGGUUGUACUGCAGCACAACUCAGCCUAUCCUAAUACAUAUGGGAAUGCAAACAUCUCAGAUAUUUCUUCUUGGGUGCAAUUUAAAAUACGUAUGAAAUGGCUUCAGAAGUGUCCAUGAACCUUCAAAAUUACAUACAAGAAUUAGGGAGAUACAUUUUUCUGGGAACAUACAGAUGUUAAGACUUCCCUUCUCCGUCUCUAUAUUGCCAGAAGAGAGGGCCCCAGAAUUAAAACCCCAUCCUUCCUACAACACUCAGCUUUCUCUUUCAGGAAUAUCAGUACUAAUAUCACCAUGCCUUUUAUCUCUAGGAUAUCUUCAUCCCCUGUACCUUAAUUUCUGCAUGACUUCAUAGGGAGUCCAUAUUGCUUGAUUUUUCUCCAUAUCAUUACCAUUGACAUAA
rnacentral:lncRNA from 10 species